AAAAAUGACUUAUAAGUCAUUUUAUAUAAGCAACUUUGACCCGUCCGUUCGUUAUUUUUUAAGCAAUAAUUCUGGGGCGAUCGGGAAUUUGCGACCGGGAUUGGCGACAGGGUGAGGUGGACAUGCCAAAUCAGCAUCAUGAGAGAAAAAAAAAACUCCUCAAAUAAUCUCACUUUACCCGUACUUUCCCAUCACUUUACGGUCUUUACCAAAAAACUCUCUCUCUCUCACCAAACUCUUUGCUUCGCUGCCGCUGCUCCGCUACAAGGUAUGCAUCAAAACCUCAUCUGCUUCUACUUUCCAAUGCAACACCUAGAUGUCUCAUCCCUCUCCCUUUCCCAUUUUGUAUAAAAUUAGACAAAUCCCCUGGACCCGCUCUGAUACAUGUAGCUAGCUAUUUGUGAUUUUUAGAGUGGGUUUACUGAGUAAUUAGAGAAGAAAGGAGUGAUUGACUGGAUUUUACAAGAAUUCAGACUCUACUAGGGUCAAUUAGAGGUUCAAAUUACCUUCUUUUUGCUUUUUCAUUACUUGGCCCCUGUUUAUCUACUGUAGUGGUGAUUCCUGUCCACUAAAAUAUCACCUGUGUAUCACGGCUCAAAAGAGUGAAAUAGCACAGCUGAAAGGUUGGUUAGGAAGAGACAGGUUCAUGGUAUCAAGGUAUGGUUAUUUACAACAUAAGUAAAAUUUAAGUAUAUUUAUUAGUUGAGGUGUGAACAUGAUGGUCAAGUGUUCAAAUUAAUAAUCUCUGUCAUUGAUUUUCAUGAUGUUGGUUUAUUUCUCAUGGCCCAUUCUUGGGGUUCAAUUGUUUUUCUUGAGCUAAAAAACGGUUCUUUCCGCACUACCUCUCCCCUGAACAAAAUGUAACAGGUAUCUAAGUGAAUGAAGGAAAACUAUAGCUAGAUGCUUGGUUACAUUUACAUGGAAAUUUUCCUUUACACAUAUGACUAUACUCUGGAGUUUUUUAGUUGUAAAAAAGAAAAGUAAAGAAAGUUAAAGAAAAGAAGGGAAGAGAAGAGAAAGUUUUACUUUCUUUUCUCUAGCUUUCUUCUCAAAAGUGAGAAGAAAUUUUUUGACUCAAAAUGCACUCACUUUUCUUAACUUUCUUUUCUUUAAUCCACUAUCAAAGAUUUAGCUAAAUAAAUCCAAGAAUUUGCACAAAAUUUAAUUCCUUUUCAAAAAUUACCUUUUUAAUUUCUGAAUAAGAAUUUUCUUUUAGCUAAAUACAUCCACUAUAAGCUCCAAAAAGGUGGGGAGCCAAGUACAUGUGGUUAAUAUAUUUUUAUAAAUUUCCAGAAAUGGCAUGUCCUGAUGAGUUUGAUUCAUGUAUGAGAAUGAAUGAUAUUGAGGAAUGUGCUUUGGCGGAGGAUUUAGUAGAGUGAAGAAGUUGAUGAAGUGAUUAGAGAUCCGAAAGCAGAAAUGGAGUUUGGUUCCGUUGAUGAGGGGGUUUCCCCUUUCAUUUUCAGGUAUAAUAUCUUAUUUUACUGCUUUCUCUUUCAAUUUUUGGGUUUCUUCUUCGGUGUUAUUUGUUGCUGAAAAUCAUCAUUUUAUUUUUCUUGUUGCAGGAGUACUAUAAACCAUAUUGGAGGAGUGGUGAAGGAUGUGAUAUGAACAAUAGGAGCGGAUAAUUUUGUUGUAAUUUGAUUGCAAGUUUCACUCUCAAAUAGCUGCUCAUCGUGAAGUAAUAUGAUUGUAAUUUAUCUGAACAAUAGGAGCCAAACUGUGUUGAUUAUCUUCAACAUUAAUAUUGUUAGUUCAGGAUCUUUUAUUUUUCAAUUGUACAAUGAUUUGUCUUACAAUGGAAUGGACAUAUAGAGGUAUUUAUGAAAUCAUGAUAUGUUAAUUUAGUCUGAUUCAACAGCUG
rnacentral:lncRNA from 1 species